rnacentral:lncRNA from 1 species
CAUUGGCGUAGUAACUUGAUAAACCUCAGUCCUGCAUUCACGGUUUGUUUCGUAAAAACGAUGGAGAUACUUCUGAUUACAGUAAUGUUUUAUGCUUUUGCUUGCACAUUUGCGCAUGGUUACCCUGAUUCACUGACCACAGGCCAUGGAACUUUAGGACAACUGUACAAAGCACUCAACACCAGUGAGCCAACUUGGUUGAUUAAACGCACGUACACCAAGGAGAAUCAAAAAUGCGUCUAUUCACAAAAGUUAAAUCUCAAUAUGACCGCAAAUACUUAUGACUUUGUGCUAUCUUACAUCGAAAAUGGAAUACCGAAACAAGAACGUUUACACGCAACUCUUUCCAUGACACCCAGUGGUGGUGUUGAAGGCGCUGCGAUGACAGUAAAAAAAUCAGGAG